UUAGUUUAUUAUUUUUCAUUUAGUUGUUUGAUGUCUUUUGAUGGCUGCAUUCAUCGCUCCCUCGAACCUCCAAAUUUCCCCUCAUUUUCUCGCCUCCCCUCAAUUUUCCCGCACUUUCCCUCCUCCGUCGUCUCGGAAACCUUUCCGACCACGCAGUGCUUUAAAAGAAUGGCGCGAUUACGAAGAAGCAGUGAAACGGAAGGACCUCGCUGGAGCUCUCAGUUUCCUGAAAUCCCUUGAAACCGAACAACGCGUAACGGUGGAACCGUUCGGCGAGGGAACUACUUCUCCGGUAGCUGAGUUGACUCGGUCUCGGUUCCGCGAGUUGGAGCUGUUCGGACCGCAGAGGGAUUGGGAAGUUCUUGACACGUGCAUGAAUGCUGAUAACAUGAAACUUGUUGCAAACGCUUACAAGUUUCUCAAGGAUAGGGGUUUCUUGCCAAAUUUUGGUAAAUGCAGGAAUAUUGAAGGGUGGUGCUUGUUUAGCCUGGUCUGGUCUGGCUUUUCCCUUUGGCGUUGGCUGUUUUUCAUGUGGCCUUUUUCUGUUUUGGAGGGUACAAGGAAUGUAACACCGGAUGUCCUGAGCUCCUCAACUGGUUUGGAAGUGACUAAACUUGCUCCAAAGAAAUGGGGUCUCUCAGAUGGUUCAAGCACUGCUUUGGUUGCUUUCUUGGGCGGUGUCUCCUUUCUUAUUUCACAAGGAAUAGACCUCAGGCCCAACCUUGCAGUGAUAUUAGGUCUAGCCUUUGCAGAUUCGAUAUUCCUGGGAGGUACCUGCUUAGCUCAAAUAUCAAGUUACUGGCCACCAUAUAGGCGUCGAAUCCUCAUUCAUGAAGCAGGACAUCUCCUAAUAGCUUACCUGAUGGGUUGCCCAAUUCGGGGGGUGAUUUUAGACCCAAUAGUUGCAAUGCAAAUGGGUAUCCAAGGACAGGCAGGAACUCAGUUUUGGGAUGAAAAAGUUGCCAGCGACCUUGCUGAAGGCCGACUUGAUGGUUCAGCUUUUGACAGGUACUGUAUGGUACUUUUUGCUGGCAUUGCGGCCGAAGCUCUUAUUUAUGGUGAAGCAGAGGGUGGAGAAAAUGAUGAAAAUCUAUUUAGAAACGUCUGUCUUCUUCUUGAGCCUCCAUUGUCUGUAGCAGAGAUGUCUAAUCAAGCAAGAUGGUCUGUUAUGCAAUCUUAUAAUUUGCUGAAGUGGCAUAAAGCUGCACACCGAGCUGCUGUUAAAGCAUUGGAAAGUGGUGGCAGUCUUAGUGCUGUAAUUAGGAGGAUCGAGGAGACAUUGUAUUCUGAAAAAUGAACCUUGGAAGUUUACAUAAAAGAAACAAAUUGUUUUUAAGUUGCAUACAGGACAGGGUUAUCGCAAAUUCACAAUGGAUUUGACACGGAGCUGGUUUUACUGGUCUUUAUGAACCAUUACGUAUUUGCAGUGGCCACAUGUAUUGGACCCUGUCUACCACGACCGAAUCAAUCAAACGAAUACUAUAUCUAUAUGUUUCAGCUGGCGACAUUAUUGAGAUCCCAACUUGUAUCUAAUAUGGUUAGAUAUGUAAUAUCAGUGGAAAUUAAGUCAUUGUGAGGAUGACAGCUUAGUUUAGAGUGGUUCUGAGCCUUUGCAUAAGUUUUCUGUUAUACAAAUGGUUUGUAAAUAAUUAAUCAUUCAUGGACAAUUGUUUUUACCAUGUGCCUCCAUAACGUAAAUACACAAGCCAUUAGGUCUUCUGUAAAA